rnacentral:misc_RNA from 1 species
GGAAUAUUUGCACUUAUUCGAAAUCGAAGCAAAGCUGGAGCUAUAGCAGCACAUAGAUCGGUAUGUUGUGAAAAAAAGAGAGAAAAAUCUGGACAAAUUGUUUCCAAAAAAGUGGAAUUGAAUCGAAAGAUCAUGUGGUUCAAGAUCUACAGUAACAACAUGGUGGUUUGGUUGGUGUUACUCCUUCUGGGUUCGAGCGUUCUCUUCAGUUCAAUUGCUUCCGCUUCCCUUUCCUCUUCGACUGACACCACCAUGCACACUAACAAUUGGGCUGUCUUGGUCUGCACCUCUCGCUUCUGGUUUAAUUAUCGACACAUGGCUAAUACUUUAUCUUUGUAUAGGACUGUUAAGCGACUAGGAAUACCUGAUGAGAGGAUAAUACUCAUGUUGGCAGAUGAUAUGGCUUGCAAUCCCAGGAACAAGUACCCUGCUCAAGUCUUCAACAAUGAAAAUCACAGACUUAACUUGUAUGGAGAUAAUGUUGAGGUAGAUUAUCGAGGUUAUGAAGUGACAGUUGAAAAUUUUAUGCGGGUUUUGACUGGGCGCCAUGAGGCUGCUGUUCCAAGGUCAAAGCGUCUUUUAAGUGAUGAAGGAAGUCACAUUCUCCUGUACAUGACGGGACAUGGAGGAGAUGAAUUCUUAAAAUUUCAGGACUCUGAAGAGCUCCAAAGUCAUGAUUUAGCUGAUGCUGUGAAGCAAAUGAAGGAAAAGCAUAGGUUCAAGGAAUUGCUGAUAAUGGUGGAUACUUGCCAAGCUGCCACUCUAUUCAAUCAGCUUCAUUCACCAGGUGUUUUGGCUAUUGGAAGUAGCAUGAAAGGAGAGAACUCAUACUCGCAUCAUCUGGACUCUGAUGUUGGUGUUUCUGUAGUGGAUCGUUUUACCUUCUAUACCCUUGCAUUCUUUGAGAGGCUAAAUAUGUAUGACAAUGCCUCACUGAGCAGGUAUGCUUAAAUUACGUAAUACCAGUAAAUUGAAUAGUCUAUACUAUGUUCAUAUGCGUUUUGUUUUGCCACAAUGACCUUUAUAAUUAAAUAAGGAUACAUUCUUUGUUUAUACAUACCUUUAGGGGGGGGAAAAACAGUUGUGAGGGGAUUCUGAUAAAUUAACAUGUACUGAGUCUUGCACUCCUUUUCACUUGUGGUUUAAUUUGCUGCUCACUCUAGACAAUUCUGUAUUUCAUUUCACUGCUCCGAGCAUAGCCAAAACUAGCACACAGAACCAGAUGCAAUCACAAAAAGAAUAAUUUAGGCCUAAUCAUAAAAAUAAUUCAAAUCUUUUCAUACUUUGGCAGUUUAACCCAAACGUUUAAAUCUUGGCACAAUUGGCUAGAUUUAUAAAAUUUGUAAAAAUUUUAUCUAAUUUUUUCGAGAUUGCAAAAGAUUGUUGUAAUUUUUUUCAAUUUUUUUUUCAACUAAUUGUUCCACUUCAUUUUUUUGUUGAUUCAACCUUACUAUCAUCAACUACUUUCAAACUUCAUUUUAAUAUCCAUGAUGCAUCAAAAUUCUUAACUAUUUUGGUCAAAUUGAGUAGUUUUAGUCGCACACUCUCUCCUCACUUUCAUUAAAUCUUAUCUCUAUUUGAUGCUCAAUGGGUAUCAAAAUGAAAUUAUGGAAGAAUUGUGAUUGUGGUAAAGUUGGAUUUUCAAUGAUAGCUGUAGACAAGUCAAAAAAUGUAGUUCAAGAUUUGGUUAACGAAAAUUAGAUAACAUUUUAGUAACUCUUAAAAAUCUGACCAAUUAUGCGAAGACUUAAACAUUUGGAUUAGAUCGCCAAAGUGCAAAAAGAUUUGGAUUAUUUUUGUAACUAGGCCAAUAAUUUAAUCCAACCAUACCGUUUAAGGAGCCUAUUCAAGAUUGCUGAUAUGAUCUGCCAAUUCUUCUAUGAUGAGUAUCUAAAGAUGGAUUUAUGAACAUCUAGUGGUGUUAUUGUUGGGUGGGGAAAAAUGAACUCAGAAGCAUUAUAUUUCAUAAUAUUGGUAUUGUUUGCUUGUGUAAAUUUCUGGAGAUUAUUCUCAAGCAAUAUUUACGGUGGGGAGGACUCGAAUAUCUGGUCAUUUGUUUUGCAGUCUUUUCACUUCAUAUGAUCCAAAUACACUGAUGUCAACUGCAUAUUACCGAACAGAUCUGUGCCAACGACGCUUGGAGGAGGUAUUGAAUUAGCUUUCCAUGAAUAUUUCUACUAAUCUACAUUUCAUGUGCAUUAUCUGUUGUAACUUUGGAGAACUAUAUUUUUCAAUGUGGCAUUUGGUUUUAUAUACAAGUUUUUGCCUUCUCCUUUGUUAAACUAAACACAGCUAAGAUCUGUUUUUCAUGUGUUUUAUCAAUCAAAUUCAAUGUUUGUUCCUUUAGCUGACUUAUAGAUAGGAUUAGCAGCUAAUUUUUGCAUCCUAGGUACCUGUGACAAACUUCUUUGGUUCGGUCAUGGAAACCAUACAUACUGAUUCUGCUUAUAGAAUUCAUCAAAGAAAAGACACUGACAGAGUUGAACGUAAAAGACCUUUAGAGAAAUCGGUUGACCAUGGCGGGAGAAGGACCUUGAUACAUUCAAAUAAGGAUGAUCAAAUUAGUGAUGGUAAGGCACAGGUUCAUGUUUGCCCUUUUACACAAAUGUGGAGUACACUUAACAGCAAAAUGGAAAGAAUUGAAGAUGUUGAUUCCUUGGUGAAUUAUGGUUUGAUAAUUAUGCUUCCAUUUUUGAUACUUUCUGUGUGGCUGUCAUUAUGAAGAAUUGAAGCAGCAUCUUAUGUUUGAAUCAUCUUCACUACUGUUGCCUGACAAAUCUUUUCUGUUCUUAUACUUUCCAUUUACCCAUAUCGGAUUCGCUGCUGAAUAAGUUUGAUUAAUUUUUUUCCACUCUUCAGUAUGGAAUUGACCGAGUAUUGGAGAAGGCCACAUGAGAGUCUGACUGUUGUGGUGUUAUCCCCAUUUUUGCAGUGUUAUGUGGACUAUAUGUAUCCUUUGCGAUGACAUGCAAUCCAAACAAAUUAAAUGGGGGAAUGUUCAAUUUUGCCUUUGAACUUUUGACUUGUGUCUAAGUAACCCUUAUCCCAAUUAAAAAUUGGGCCUAUUUGAACUUAAACAGAAAGUUGUGGAUUAAUUGGGAUAAAAACAUAAAAUUAAAUAAAAAAAAUUAAAGAGUAAAAUUGAGUUCUCUUUCCAAACUAAUUUAUUUGUCAUCUUAUUCUAUCUUUGGUUGAUUGUGCCUCGGAUUGGGAUUCACAGGUCAAAAGGUCAAUAUAAAUUUGUUUGUCAAAUCUUAAUUCCAAAUGAAUUGCAAGUGAUGUUACUUGAUUAUUUGCAAAUUAUUAAAAUUACUAGUAACAAAAUUAACGUCUACUAAACAAACAUGUAAAAUUGUGUUAUAGACAAUGAAU